AUCCUGGCUCAGGAUGAACGCUGGCGGCGUGCUUAACACAUGCAAGUCGAACGAAGCACUUUAUUUGAUUUCCUUCGGGACUGAUUAUUUUGUGACUGAGUGGCGGACGGGUGAGUAACGCGUGGGUAACCUGCCUUGUACAGGGGGAUAACAGUUGGAAACGGCUGCUAAUACCGCAUAAGCGCACAGCAUCGCAUGAUGCAGUGUGAAAAACUCCGGUGGUAUAAGAUGGACCCGCGUUGGAUUAGCUAGUUGGUGAGGUAACGGCCCACCAAGGCGACGAUCCAUAGCCGACCUGAGAGGGUGACCGGCCACAUUGGGACUGAGACACGGCCCAAACUCCUACGGGAGGCAGCAGUGGGGAAUAUUGCACAAUGGGCGAAAGCCUGAUGCAGCGACGCCGCGUGAGCGAAGAAGUAUUUCGGUAUGUAAAGCUCUAUCAGCAGGGAAGAUAAUGACGGUACCUGACUAAGAAGCACCGGCUAAAUACGUGCCAGCAGCCGCGGUAAUACGUAUGGUGCAAGCGUUAUCCGGAUUUACUGGGUGUAAAGGGAGCGCAGGCGGUGCGGCAAGUCUGAUGUGAAAGCCCGGGGCUCAACCCCGGUACUGCAUUGGAAACUGUCGUACUAGAGUGUCGGAGGGGUAAGCGGAAUUCCUAGUGUAGCGGUGAAAUGCGUAGAUAUUAGGAGGAACACCAGUGGCGAAGGCGGCUUACUGGACGAUGACUGACGUUGAGGCUCGAAAGCGUGGGGAGCAAACAGGAUUAGAUACCCUGGUAGUCCACGCCGUAAACG
rnacentral:rRNA from 1 species